UUAAGGACCCACUUAAUUUUCAAUUUUGAUAUAGUGAAAACGGAAAUGGAAUUAAAUAUAUUCUUGAGGUGUUAAUCAUGUUUUCAAUCUCACCCUCCAAAGAGCGAAACUCUUUAUGGAGGAAAUAAUUUAAGAAUCUCUGCAGCAGGCAGGACAUUCCGAAACACGCACCCUUCCAAAUUAGGCGAAACGGAGGUAGUAAAUUCAGUAAAAGUAAACACUUCAAGAAUCAAAGUCACAUAGGAACUUAGAAGUUCAGCAUUAAUAUCAUUAUAAAAUUAAAGAAUACCGGCCAUGAUUACAUAAAGUAGCUAGCUAUGUUUAAGGGCUGAAUGUAAGCAAAAUAGGCACGUGGAAAUACAAAAGUGUUUAUAAGGGAAGAUGGUACUUUGAGAGCGAGAAGUCCAAUAGUUUGUGUCCGAGCGCUGCCACAGUGCCCACAGCCGUUAUCCAGACUCUUCCCCCAUUAGAUUUUAUUGCCUUAGUUCAAGUCGUGCAUCUUCUCUUUGGCUCAGUUUCUUCAUUUCCAAAGUACAGUAUUUUAAAGGGCGCUUGGGGGCGGGCACGCGCGCACACACACGGAUAUUUAUGAUCCUAGACUUUUAUGGUUCCCACUAGUCUGGUUUUUAUUUGUUUCUUUUUAAAUACCAGGAAAAUCUUUAAGAAAGCUACCUGCACUUCUAUUAUCAGAACGGGGAAUUUUAUUACAGAUUUUCAAAACAAAAUUUCCUGUUUCUCCUUACCAUUGGGAUCUGCUGUUACUUUCAGAUUGAACAAAUUCCACGCAAAACAAGCAACUGUUUUGAGCAUUCUUUCACCAGGUCUUUGGCAGGUUGGAGGAGGAGGUUAUAGAGAGGCAAAAUACAGGGAUUGCACCCUGGUCGGUAACAGGCCUCUUACUUCUCAGUUUGCUUGUGGAAUAAGACAAGCAACGAUCAUCCGCAGUCCAAUUACCACUGUAGGAUUUGAAUGUAUAAGGUGAAAUGAAACGCUGUGAGCAGGAUUUGAACCUGCGCGGGGAAACCCCAUUGGAUUUCGAGUCCAACGCCUUAACCACUCGGCCAUCACAGCUUGAAUUUUUGUUUCUAUUAAGGCAUUGAAAAACACAUCCGUGUAGGGCUGUGAUUUAUAAUCCUGCCUACAAAUUCUGGCCACUCUUGCUUGUUUAACAUGUUUACUUUAAGCAGUAUGCAAAGGGAGAUCACUUCCCAAACUCCUUCAUCAGAUCUCUCCACUCAGCCGUUUCCCUGCCUUAACCAAUUUGUUCCCAUCCCACCAGGCUCCAGGCUGUAGAGUCUCGCCUCUGAGAGAAGGCAAUAUUCCAGCAUCAUAAGAAUCCUAGAUUUUCUAAAAUUUUCUACAGUCUUCCCGGAUUGCCUAGUUUUGCUUCACACUCAGCAGGGAAUGAAGUAAGAGUUGUAUUGUGUGCCGAUGAACUUAUUCAUUUGUGUUCUCCACAGACGAAUACGCUAUGCCUUGCUGCUAUGCAGGACAAUUGGACAGGAUCUACCAAUAUUUCAAAUGCAUAUACUCUUUGAUACAGCAUUUCCACAAAUGUAAAAGACUUGAAAGCAUGACUGGUUUCCCUGCGCUCCCAAAGGAACACUUUGGAGACUUAAAUAAUCUUGUGAUGAAGACUGUGAAAUUCAUGCAAGUUAAAAAGCUCUUUUGAAAAUUUUUUUUUUUUUUUUCCUUAGCUUGAUCUUGAUUGUCUUCCUAGUCCUUCUACUCUACCAGGAAUCCCCAAGGGUGGGGAUGGGGGUAAAGAAGAAAGAGGCUGUUUAAAAUGAUGGUAUCCCGGAGUAGUCACUGUUUAUCUCCUCCUCCUUGUCUCCUCCUUGGCAGGUUAACUUUUGUGGGAGGUUCUUUUCAUUUCUAAAUGGUUUCUCAAAUUUUCUGUGCCACUGUGAGCCUGCCAUAUUCUUCUAUCCAUCGAUAGUCCCCAAGGAGAUAGUCUUUCCCUUUUCCUGGAUUGAUGCCUCCUGGAUUGGCAGUUGUGAGAGGUCAAAUGUGUAUGGGUGCUGCCCAAUGAGAAAAACUUGCUGGAGAAAAUACUGGUAAAUUAUUAUCAUUUUUUAUUUAUUUAUUUUUCUUCUUUGGCCUCACCCCCAGCAUGUGAAAGAACUUGCACCACAGCAGCAACCAGAGCUGCUGUGACAACGCCAGACCCUUAACCGCUUCAUCACAAGGAAACUCCCUAAAACUCCUUUGAUUUUAAAAUUUGACCAAGUGUCUUUCUCUGUCAACUUCCUUUCUCAAUUUCAGGAAGAAGUGGGAGGAAGAAAGAAAUCUUAGAAGAUGACUCCUUUGAUGGCUAUGAAGACUCAGACUCAACUGACAGUCAAGACUCUAUGGUUGGGCGGCACUUCUGAAUGUGAAGAAUUAAUUCAGGAUAAGUUCCUUUCAAAAUGCUUUAAGAGUUGAUUUCAGCAUCACUUGUUGGCCGCUGGCCUCCCUGCACCGAAGGUCAGCAUCAACUUAUCCUUGACUAAACAUAGCUGAAGUUAGGAAAGGACAUGGAUGUUUUGGGGAUUGCUAUAGACCCACUGUACUCCCCCCAAAUUGAUAUGUUGAAAACAAAUAUCCAAUGUGCUGAUAUAUUGGGGGGGGGGUUAGGUCAUGAGGAUGAAGUCCACAUGAAUGGGAUUAGAUCCUCAUAAAAGAGAUACCAGAGAGACCUUUCACUCUUUCCUUCAUGUGAGAACACAGUGAAAAGACUGAUGUCUAUGAGAUAGGGAGCCAAGAAUCAAAAUUUCACCAGACUGAGAGAAUCAAAACCAGCCUCCAGAAAUGUGAGAAAGGAAUGCUUGUCCUUUAAGACACCUGGUUGAUGGUAUUUUUGUUACAGCAGCCCAUAUGGACUAAAACUGGGAGGGAGAUGCAAAUGAGACCCACGAUUGAGCCAAAUUCUGGAAAGGUAGACCCAGUCACUUGAGGUCAGUUUGUACAAUACACAUUUGCAUAAAAUUUACAUAUUUAAAACAACAGUAAUCAGCUUUCAACUUCAGAACAGAUGGUAAGAUAAUAAAGGUCUGGGUGGACUACUUUAUAACAUAGUGAUUAAAAACUUGUUAUCGCUUGAGGUAGGGUAGGUAAGGAGUACUGUUGGCUCAGCCAGCUAAGAGCUCACUGCUUCUGAUAGUCUUUAUAAUGGAGUAUAAAGAAAAUAAU
rnacentral:tRNA from 1 species